CGGCAUACUUACCUGGCGUGGAGGUCAACCGUGAUCAACUAGGCGGUUCCUCCAGGGCGAGGCCCGGUCAUUGCACACCGACUGGGUUGACCCCUGCGAGUAUCCCUAAUGUGGAUACCUCGGACGCAUAAUUUUUGGUAGCUGGGACUGCGUUCGCGCCGUCCCUUACAAACUCUUAAAGGAUAAUUUUCCCUCUCACACCCGUAAUGUGGUUAGUGUGAUGAAUUCGUGGUUGUGCGCGUACAUCAGCGAUCCU